rnacentral:rRNA from 1 species
GGGUUGUGAGGUUAAGCGACUAAGCGUACACGGUGGAUGCCCUGGCAGUCAGAGGCGAUGAAGGGCGUGCUAAUCUGCGAUAAGCGCCGGUAAGGUGAUAUGAACCGUUAUAACCGGCGAUACCCGAAUGGGGAAACCCAGUGUGAUUCGUCACACUAUCAUUAACUGAAUCCAUAGGUUAAUGAGGCGAACCGGGGGGAACUGAAACAUCUAAGUACCCCGAGGAAAAGAAAUCAACCGAGAUUCCCCCAGUAGCGGCGAGCGAACGGGGAGGAGCCCAGAGCCUGAAUCAGCAUGUGUGUUAGUGGAAGCGUCUGGAAAGGCGCGCGAUACAGGGUGACAGCCCCGUACACAAAAGCGCAUGUGCUGUGAGCUCGAUGAGUAGGGCGGGACACGUGGUAUCCUGUCUGAAUAUGGGGGGACCAUCCUCCAAGGCUAAAUACUCCUGACUGACCGAUAGUGAACCAGUACCGUGAGGGAAAGGCGAAAAGAACCCCGGCGAGGGGAGUGAAAAAGAACCUGAAACCGUGUACGUACAAGCAGUGGGAGCACAGGUUUACCUGUGUGACUGCGUACCUUUUGUAUAAUGGGUCAGCGACUUAUAUUCUGUAGCAAGGUUAACCGUAUAGGGGAGCCGCAGGGAAACCGAGUCUUAAUUGGGCGUUAAGUUGCAGGGUAUAGACCCGAAACCCGGUGAUUAGCCAUGGGCAGGUUGAAGGUUGGGUAACACUAACUGGAGGACCGAACCGACUAAUGUUGAAAAAUUAGCGGAUGACCUGUGGCUGGGGGUGAAAGGCCAAUCAAACCGGGAGAUAGCUGGUUCUCCCCGAAAGCUAUUUAGGUAGCGCCUCGUGAAUUCAUCUCCGGGGGUAGAGCACUGUUUCGGCUAGGGGGCCAUCCCGGCUUACCAACCCGAUGCAAACUGCGAAUACCGGAGAAUGUUAUCACGGGAGACACACGGCGGGUGCUAACGUCCGUCGUGAAGAGGGAAACAACCCAGACCGCCAGCUAAGGUCCCAAAGUCAUGGUUAAGUGGGAAACGAUGUGGGAAGGCCCAGACAGCCGGAUGUUGGCUUAGAAGCAGCCAUCAUUUAAAGAAAGCGUAAUAGCUCACUGGUCGAGUCGGCCUGCGCGGAAGAUGUAACGGGGCUAAACCAUGCACCGAAGCUGCGGCAGCGACACUGUGUGUUGUUGGGUAGGGGAGCGUUCUGUAAGCCUGCGAAGGUGGCCUGUGAGGGUUGCUGGAGGUAUCAGAAGUGCGAAUGCUGACAUAAGUAACGAUAAAGCGGGUGAAAAGCCCGCUCGCCGGAAGACCAAGGGUUCCUGUCCAACGUUAAUCGGGGCAGGGUGAGUCGACCCCUAAGGCGAGGCCGAAAGGCGUAGUCGAUGGGAAACGGGUUAAUAUUCCCGUACUUGGUGUUACUGCGAAGGGGGACGGAGAAGGCUAUGUUGGCCGGGCGACGGUUGUCCCGGUUUAAGCGUGUAGGUGUGUGUUCCGUAAAUCCGGUUCACUUUAACACUGAGGCGUGACGACGAGGCACUACGGUGCUGAAGCAACAAAUGCCCUGCUUCCGUGAAAAGCCUCUAAGCAUCAGGUAACAUCAAAUCGUACCCCAAACCGACACAGGUGGUCAGGUAGAGAAUACCAAGGCGCUUGAGAGAACUCGGGUGAAGGAACUAGGCAAAAUGGUGCCGUAACUUCGGGAGAAGGCACGCUGACACGUAGGUGAAGUGAUUUACUCACGGAGCUGAAGUCAGUCGAAGAUACCAGCUGGCUGCAACUGUUUAUUAAAAACACAGCACUGUGCAAACACGAAAGUGGACGUAUACGGUGUGACGCCUGCCCGGUGCCGGAAGGUUAAUUGAUGGGGUCAGCGCAAGCGAAGCUCCUGAUCGAAGCCCCGGUAAACGGCGGCCGUAACUAUAACGGUCCUAAGGUAGCGAAAUUCCUUGUCGGGUAAGUUCCGACCUGCACGAAUGGCGUAAUGAUGGCCAGGCUGUCUCCACCCGAGACUCAGUGAAAUUGAACUCGCUGUGAAGAUGCAGUGUACCCGCGGCAAGACGGAAAGACCCCGUGAACCUUUACUAUAGCUUGACACUGAACAUUGAGCCUUGAUGUGUAGGAUAGGUGGGAGGCUUUGAAGUGUGGACGCCAGUCUGCAUGGAGCCGACCUUGAAAUACCACCCUUUAAUGUUUGAUGUUCUAACGUGGACCCGUAAUCCGGGUUGCGGACAGUGUCUGGUGGGUAGUUUGACUGGGGCGGUCUCCUCCUAAAGAGUAACGGAGGAGCACGAAGGUUGGCUAAUCCCGGUCGGACAUCAGGAGGUUAGUGCAAUGGCAUAAGCCAGCUUGACUGCGAGCGUGACGGCGCGAGCAGGUGCGAAAGCAGGUCAUAGUGAUCCGGUGGUUCUGAAUGGAAGGGCCAUCGCUCAACGGAUAAAAGGUACUCCGGGGAUAACAGGCUGAUACCGCCCAAGAGUUCAUAUCGACGGCGGUGUUUGGCACCUCGAUGUCGGCUCAUCACAUCCUCGGGCUGAAGUAGGUCCCAAGGGUAUGGCUGUUCGCCAUUUAAAGUGGUACGCGAGCUGGGUUUAGAACGUCGUGAGACAGUUCGGUCCCUAUCGCCGUGGGCGCUGGAGAACUGAGGGGGGCUGCUCCUAGUACGAGAGGACCGGAGUGGACGCAUCACUGGUGUUCGGGUUGUCAUGCCAAUGGCACUGCCCGGUAGCUAAAUGCGGAAGAGAUAAGUGCUGAAAGCAUCUAAGCACGAAACUUGCCCCGAGAUGAGUUCUCCCUGAGACUUAGAGUCUCCUGAAGGAACGUUGAAGACGACGACGUUGAUAGGCCGGGUGUGUAAGCGCAGCGAUGCGUUGAGCUAACCGGUACUAAUGAACCGUGAGGCUUAACCUUACAACGCCGAAG